rnacentral:rRNA from 1 species
AAACCUACGGGGCGCAGCAGUGGGGGAUAUUGCACAAUGGGGGGAACCCUGAUGCAGCGACGCCGCGUGGGUGAAGAAGCGCCUCGGCGCGUAAAGCCCUGUCAGCAGGGAAGAAAAUGACGGUACCUGAAGAAGAAGCCCCGGCUAACUACGUGCCAGCAGCCGCGGUAAUACGUAGGGGGCAAGCGUUAUCCGGAUUUACUGGGUGUAAAGGGAGCGUAGACGGCGUGCCAAGUCUGAUGUGAAAGGCCGGGGCUCAACCCCGGGACUGCAUUGGAACCUGGCAUGCUGGAGUGCCGGAGGGG